UGAAUCUUAAGGACAAUGGUGAUGAU
rnacentral:piRNA from 1 species